UACGGAGGGUGCAAGCGUUGUUCGGAAUCAUUGGGCGUAAAGCGCGUGUAGGCGGUCGGGCAAGUCAGAUGUGAAAGCCCUUGGCUUAACCAAGGAAGUGCAUUUGAAACUGCCCGGCUUGAGUACGGGAGGGGGAAGUGGAAUUCCCGGUGUAGAGGUGAAAUUCGUAGAUAUCGGGAGGAACACCGGUGGCGAAGGCGGCUUCCUGGACCGAUACUGACGCUGAGACGCGAAAGCGUGGGGAGCAAACAGG
rnacentral:rRNA from 1 species